UGGGGAAUUUUGCGCAAUGGGCGAAAGCCUGACGCAGCAACGCCGCGUGAGUGAUGAAGGCUUUCGGGUCGUAAAGCUCUGUCAAGGGGAAAGAAGUGUAUUGUGGUUAAUACCUGCGAUACUUGACGGUACCCCUGAAGGAAGCACCGGCUAACUCCGUGCCAGCAGCCGCGGUAAUACGGGGGGUGCAAGCGUUGUUCGGAAUUAUUGGGCGUAAAGCGCGUGUAGGCGGUUUGUUAAGUCUGAUGUGAAAGCCCUGGGCUCAACCCAGGAAGUGCAUUGGAUACUGGCAGACUUGAAUACGGGAGAGGGUAGUGGAAUUCCUGGUGUAGGAGUGAAAUCCGUAGAUAUCAGGAGGAACACCGGUGGCGAAGGCGGCUACCUGGACCGAUAUUGACGCUGAGACGCGAAAGCGUGGGUAGCAAACA
rnacentral:rRNA from 1 species